AUGAUGAGGGGGCGACUGUUGGGGCUGGCGGCUUGGCCAGAAGGGGCGCCCCAGCAUUCUCCCCUCAUUGGUGCUUGGGGGAAGGGGUGCUCCGGCGCCACCCGCAGACUUCAGUGCCCCCUCGGGACCUCAAAAGCCACGCGUUGCCUCCGAGCCUUGCGAGUUCCUCAUCCCCGAGUCCCAGGCGCUGCUUGGCCUCCGGCCGCGACCCGCAGACCAGCCCGCUUCAUGGCCACUUGUGCUUCUUUCAGCGUGAUCCCCGGUCAACCCCGCGGCCACUCCCCCGCAGCCGGCCAGCCCGGCGGGCACACCGACGGCGAGAAACGGGCAGCCAGACAGCCAGAGGUGCUGCGGAGGACUCACAGCCUGCAGGCUUUGUGGGGCCAGGGCAGCAGCAUCACGGCGGCACCUCGGGGCGCGCAAACUACAACUCCCAGAGGCCCGCGCGCCGCGCGAGGCAGGAUCAAGCCCUGGCGUCUUGACGCAGGGGCCAAUCGGAAGCCUCCUCUGGUGAGUGCCCUGCCCCCACGGAGCCCAAAUUUUACCAGCUGGGAGCCGGUCGCCAUGGCAACAGGCCGUCGCGUCGAAAGCGCCGGCGUUGGACCCACAGUGUCUGCCGGGCUUCCGAGUGGUGCUGUGCUACGCGCUCCGUUUGGAGUUCGCCUGUCAGACGGAAGUGUGAUAUGUCCCAGAAUAGCGCUGCCAGUGACAGUGCGACAGCUUCACACUCCGAGUGCACAGCUGGCCGGAGUCUCGGAACACUAUCCUGAGGUCCAACACCGUGGACUGGUUUUACCUUUUCUGGAACUUCCUACAAAUGGGUGAUGUGGUGCAUAUACUUUUGCAGUUCCAGUCCCACUUGGCCUGUGUGGGACUCACCCACAUUGCUAUGUGUGUGUGUGUGUGUCACGGGGGCCGGGGGCCGUUGGUGGGGGUGGGUUGUUUUCCAUUGCUGAACAGUAUCUGGUUCCUUACCUGGGUAUAUGGAUAUACGGUUCGUUUCCUCAUGCACCUGCUAGUGAAAAUCUGGGGUUGUUUCUGUUCUGGAGUCGUUAUGAGCCAAGCUGCCGUGAACAUUUGUGUACGCGUCUUUGCGAGGACCUCAGUUCUCUGGAUUUGCCUGUUCUGGACAUUUCAUAGAAGCUAAGUCAUACAAUACGUGACCUUUUCUGUCUGGCUUCCUUCAUUCAGCCUAAUGUUUUAUUUUAUUUUUUGUCUUUUAUUUUUUUAAGGGCCGCACCUGAGGCAUAUGGAGGUUCCCAGGCUAGGGGUCCAAUUGGAGCUGUAGCUGCCGACCUACGCCAGAGCCACAGCAACGAGGGAUCCGAGCCGCGUCUGCAACCUACACCACAGCUCACGGCAACGCUGGAUCCUUAACCCAUUGAGGGAGGCCAGGGAUCGAACCCACAACCUCAUGGUUCCUGGUCGGUUUCGUUUCUGCUGCGCCACAAUGGGAACUCCUCAGCCUAAUGUUUUAAAGUUUCAUCCAUGUUGCAGCCUGUGUCAGAACUUCAUUCCUUUCUUUUUUUUUUUUUUUGUCUUUUUUUUUUUUGUCUUUUUGCUAUUUCUUGGGCCACUCCCGUGGCAUAUGGAGGUUCCCAGGCUAGGGGUCAAAUCGGAGCUGUAGCCGAUGGCCUAUGCCAGAGCCACAGCAACGCGGGAUCUGAGCCGCGUCUGCGACCUACACCACAGCUCACGGCAACGCUGGAUUGUUAACCCACUGAGCAAGGCCACGGGUGGAACCCAAAACCUCAUGGUUCCUAGUCAGAUUCGUUCACCGGUGGGCCACAACGGGAACUCCAGAACUUCAUUCCUUUUUAUGAUUGCAUAAUAUUCCACUGUAUGGAUAUACUGAAAUUUGUUUAACCCUUCACCAAGUAGAGAGCAUUUGGGGUUGGUUCACUUUUCGGCUCUUAUGCUGUAUAAAUGUUCUUGUGCAAGCUUUUGUGUGGAUAUGUUUUCUCCUUUCUCUUAGGAAGAGGAUUUGCUGGGAUGCAUGGUAGUUCUAUGCUUAACAUUUUGAGAAACUGACAGACUGUUUUCCAACCAGCUGUACCACCUUAUGUUCCCACCAACAGUGCACAGGGCUCCAGUGUCUCCAUAUCCUCACCCACACUUGCUAUUUUCCGUGGGAUUUUUUUUUUUCUUUUUUGUCUUUUGUCUUUUUAGGGCUGCGCUUAUGGCAUACGGAGGUUCCCAGGGUAGGGGUCUAAUCAGAACUGUAGCUGCCAGCCUACGCCACAGCCACAGCAACGCCAGAUCUGAACCAUGUCUGCGACCUACACCACAGCUCAUGGCAACGCUGUAUUUUUUUUCUGAUACAUUUUUAUAUCAGUGGUAAUUCUGAUCCAUGGAUUAUCAAGUGAAGGAUAAUUUCUAAGAACCUAACUUAACUUUAAGAAAUUGGAUUCAUCCCAAUUUCAGGUCAUUAUUUGAUGGUCUUUGGAUCCUGGGAUAAUAUCUAAGGACGCUAUAACCCCUGAAAGGCUGGUCUCAAAGAAUACAUUUAUCAUUUCUACCUUGACUUCCUAUGUGUGUGUAUUUCAGGAUGGCAUGGAAAUGAGUCGUGUUAAUGAAUGCGUUUGUUUCUGACACUUUGGGGAGGUGUGACCAGGAUGCUUGGGCUUCAGGAGGUAACACCGUGUGUGGCCAUCAGCUUUCCGCCCGGCAGAAUGCUUGCACAGGGCAGAGCGCUGGCAACUGCUUUCCUCUGAGUUUUCUUUGAAGGAGAAAUGAGGUACUUAGGUGAAAAGUUUAGUGGUCAAGGCCAUUCUGGGAAUGAUGCACAAAUGACUCAGUCAGCCGACAGGCUCAGUUUCUUUCUUCUUUUUUUUUCUUUUUUGCUUUUUAGCGCUGCACCUAUGGCACAUUAACCACUGAGCCAUGAAGGGAACUCCCCUGAGUUUCAUUUAUCAAAGACAAAGGGAGUAGUUUUGUUCAAGAACACAAGGAUGGUGUGAACCAGCCCUUGUAGCUUUAGAAAGUCUGUGGAAAGUGUUAGGUUCACUGAAGGAGGAACACGUGAGGCCAAGUCAGUCAACCAGAGAGAUUUAUUGAUGCAUCAGAAUCAGAUGGGGAGUUCCCACUUCGGCUCAGCAGUAAGGAGCCUGACUGGUAUCCAUGAGGACUUGAGUUUGAUCCCUGGCCUCACUCAGUGGGUUAAGGAUCCUGCGUUGCCGUGAGCCGUGGUGUAGGUCGCAGACUCGGCUGUGGCGUAGGCUGAUAGCUAUAGCUCCUGUUCGACCCCUAGCCCGGGAACUUUCUCUAAGAAGCAAAUAAUAAUAAAUAAUACCCUGCAAUGACUGAGAAUGAUAAA
rnacentral:lncRNA from 1 species